GAUGAAGAACGCAGCGGAAUGCGAUAAGUAGUGUGAAUUGCAGAAUUCAGUGAAUCAUCGAAUCUUUGAACGCACAUUGCGCCCCUUGGUAUCCCGAGGGGCAUGCCUGUUCGAGCGUCAUUUCACCACUCAAGCCUGGCUUGGUGUUGGGCGACGUCCCCUUUGGGGACGCGCCUUGAAACGCUCGGCGGCGUGGCACCGGCUUUAAGCGUAGCAGAAUCUUUCGCUUUGGAAGUCGGGGCCCCGUCUGCCGGAAGACCUACUCGCAAGGUUGACCUCGGAUCAGGCAGGGAUACCCGCUGAACUUAAGCAUAUCGAUAAGCGGAGGA
rnacentral:misc_RNA from 1 species